UAGCUAGCCAGCAUCAAUAGU
rnacentral:misc_RNA from 1 species